CCUACGGGUGGCAGCAGUGGGGAAUAUUGCUCAAUGGGGGAAACCCUGAUGCAGCAACGCCGCGUGAGUGAUGACGGCCUUCGGGUUGUAAACUUCUGUUUUUAGGGACGUUAAUGACGGUAUCUGAGGAAUAAGCCACGGCUAACUACGUGCCAGCAGCCGCGGUAAUACGUAGGGGGCGAGCGUUGUCCGGAUUCACUGGGCGUAAAGGGAGCGUAGGCGGAGUAUUAAGUAAGAUGUGAAAUGCUGGAGCUGAACUUGAGGACUGCAUUUGAAACUGUCAGUCUGGAGUGCAGGAGAGGAGGAUGGAAUUCCUGGUGUAGGGGUGAAAUGCGUAGAGAUUAGGAAGAACACUAAUGGCGAAGGCGAUUCGCUGGACUGUAACUGACGCUGAGGCUCGAAAGCGUGGGGAGCAAACAGGAUUAGAUACCCUGGUAGUC
rnacentral:rRNA from 1 species